UAGUAUCAAAAAAAUCAGUAGGGCGAUCGAUCGAAGUCUCAAAGCGCAGCUAUGCAAUUCAAUAAUAACAUGGAAAGAAGACGUGGAAUAUUUAAUAUAAACUGUUGAAAGUAUUGGCCACAUACUCGUCUUAAUUGAACAUUAUAAAACAUUCCAUUAAUGGUUCUCGAAUGCGUUGGAAAGAUCUGGCAUAACCUCACAUUGUUACCUAAUAGUUUUAUUUAUAUUACUUCCGUGUUUCGUAUUGGCGGAAAGUGGAUUUAGUAUUAAACUAGCGUAGUUCUACAUUAUUUCUUACUAGAUACGUAAUUUAUCUAUCGUUCUGAGUCCCUUAGUUCUUUAUCAUGGAAUAAAUAACUUUAACCAAACUCGUUUGUUUUGGUCUUAAAAGUUGGCAUAUUGAGUUAGCUAUGACGGAGCCUGUCGAAACGGACAUCUGGAGGGACACAUGGAUACGAUACCUAGGGUACGCCAACGAGGUUGGGGAGUCCUUCCGGCAGCUAGUCUCCACCAAGGUUGUCCGAUCCAGCUAUGCAAUCGCUUUUGCAUACACGUUCGGAGAUACUGCGGACAAAAGUUACCAGAUGUUACAGAAAGACGGGCGACCAAAGCGUGUGUUGGUGGAGGCGGGGGACGCGCUCCUGUGGCAGACGCUGGCGUCUGUCGUUAUACCCGGAUUCGUUAUUAACAGGCUAUGCACAUACUCUAUAGUGUAUCUGAAGAGGUAUCCCACUAUCCCUCGCACCGCCAGGAGUUGGAUAGCCGUGGGGGUUGGACUAUCCUCCAUCCCGUUCAUAGUGAAACCUAUAGACUCCAGCACCACAUGGCUCAUGGACAGCACCUACCGAAGAUGGGUCAAGAAUGAGCUCUAAGAGCGAAAAAACACAUUGACACAUAGACUUUAUGUGAUUUCAUAGACGUUUUAUUUUUCUAACAAUUCAAGUGCAAUGCUUGAAAUGUAUUCAAUCUCAAGAACUAGGAAUACAUUGACACGUGGUCAAUUUUGUGGAUCAUAUUAUGCCUCUAGAUUUUUAGUGAUACAUAUUUCUAAGACUUUAGUUAUUUGACAGUAUUAUUAGAGUUAGACAAACAGUCCGAAAUGGCAAGUAAUAUAAGUCUAAUAGUACAACUAAUUUGAGUAGUAGAUUCAACCCCAAAACUCCAUGAACACAAAACUUUAAUUUCUUAUCUACUUGUUUUCAAAACUUGAAUGUAGCGUCCAUAAAUAGCUUGUAAACACAAACGCUAGAAUUGACCUUAUAUUAAACUAGCUGUUGCCCGUGACUUCGUCUGCGUGGGCAAUUUCGUUUAUUUAAUCGUUCAUUGCUCAACCCCCAUAGAUGAUAGCAUGAUAAUAUAUAGCCUAUGUGUUGAACCGGCCCCCAGGUAAUAGUCAUGCAAAAUUUGAUUUAAAUCCAUGCAGUACUUUUUGAGUUUAUCUGGGACAAACAUACAGACAAACAGACAUACAGACAAAAAUUCUAAAAACUACAUAUUUGGGUUCAGAAUCGAUUAUGGAUCACCCCCCAAGCAUUCUUUAAAAAAAAUAUUCAAUGUACAGUUUUGACUUUCCUAUCAUUUUAUUAUAUGUAUAGAAGUGAGCACGUAAAUGUCGGUCCUGCGCCUGUGUCGGAUUGCCGUCCCAUCGAGCGCAGAGAGUGAAGGAAUAGGGAGUGCACCUGUGUCCAAGCAAAUGCUCGUGCACUAUAAUAUGUCCUGCGCAGUUGGCUAAUCUCCUUACAUGAGAACAGCCGCCGUGGCCGAUAAUCGGCUAGGAGGACAUCAU
rnacentral:misc_RNA from 1 species